ACUGGCCUUAAACUCCUGACAUGGCUGAAAAUGACCUUGAACUUCUGGUCCUUGCCUGCACCUCCAAGUGUAUGCUGGACCUACAUAUUAGGCUUAUGGCUAUGAGCUAUCGCAGACUGCCAGAACACAGUCUACGGGCCAGGAACUCACUAGGUUGCUUGAUUGCAGAAGCUUGCUAUAGAGGAGGAAAUAGUAUCUGAGAGAGGUCAGGUGAGUUGACUGGGGUCAUAGAACUGCCAAAGAGAAGGGCUGAGAUUUGGAGUCCAGUGGGCUAGCUCAGAGUCAGGAUCCUAACUGUACAAGCACUCACUGCCUUCUAGAAAAUGCUAUUUCCAGCUGGAAGCGUUGGCACACACCUAUAACCCUGCCUGUAUUAGAGAUGAAAAAGUAGAAAGGUCAGGAGUUCAAGCUUUGCUACACAGCAAGGCUAGCCUGGACUAAACCAGACUGCCUGCCUCCCAACAUGGUGGGGUUUUGUGUGUGUGUGUGUGUGUGAUUUGCAUCUGUCACCAUGGUUCUCAAAUUUGUCCUGUUUUGCCUUGUCCUUGAGCUUGCCUGUAUACUCGCGGUCACUACCAAGUACUAAGGAAUAAAUGGGCCAGAGUUAUCACACUGAACAUAACAACAUCAGCACCUGCUUUCCCCUAUGCAAACAUCGCAAGC
rnacentral:lncRNA from 1 species